UAAGCGGUUUUUUUUAAAACCAAACUUACAAAGGAGAAAUAUGAAU
rfam:Oesophagostomum dentatum strain OD-Hann O_dentatum-1.0_Cont7476.1, whole genome shotgun sequence.